GACGAACGCUGGCGGCGUGCUUAACACAUGCAAGUCGAACGGAAAGGCCUGCUUUCCCUUGUGGAUUGCGGGUACUCGAGUGGCGAACGGGUGAGCAACACGUGAGUGAUCUGCCCCCAACUUGGGUAUAAGCCUGGGAAACUGGGUCUAAUUCCCGAUAGGACUGCAGGGUGGUGCCUGUGGUGGAAAACGAUUUUCUAGUGGUUGGGGAUGAGCUCGCGGCCUAUCAGCUUGUUGGUGGGGUAAUGGCCUACCAAGGCGGCGACGGGUAGCCGGCCUGAGAGGGUGGACGGACACAUUGGGACUGAGAUACGGCCCAGACUCCUACGGGAGGCAGCAGUGGGGAAUAUUGCACAAUGGGCGGAAGCCUGAUGCAGCGACGCCGCGUGGGGGAUGACGGCCUUCGGGUUGUAAACUCCUUUCGACCGCGAGGAAGCCACCUGGUUGGAAGGGUGGUGACGGUAGUGGUAGAAGAAGCACCGGCUAACUACGUG
rnacentral:rRNA from 1 species